GGCCAGACUCCUACGGGAGGCAGCAGUGAGGAAUAUUGGUCAAUGGCCGAGAGGCUGAACCAGCCAAGUCGCGUGAGGGAUGACGGCCCUACGGGUUGUAAACCUCUUUUGUCGGGGAGCAAAGAGAGUCACGUGUGGCUCAUUGAGAGUACCCGAAGAAAAAGCAUCGGCUAACUCCGUGCCAGCAGCCGCGGUAAUACGGAGGAUGCGAGCGUUAUCCGGAUUUAUUGGGUUUAAAGGGUGCGCAGGCGGAGGUGCAAGUCAGUGGUCAAAUUGCGGGGCUCAACCCCGUACUGCCGUUGAAACUGCAUCCCUUGAGUGCGCGAGAAGUAUGCGGAAUGCGCAGUGUAGCGGUGAAAUGCUUAGAUAUUGCGCAGAACUCCGAUUGCGAAGGCAGCAUACCGGCGGCGAUCUGACGCUGAGGCACGAAAGCGUGGGUAUCGAACAGGAUUAGAUACCCCCGUAAAA
rnacentral:rRNA from 1 species